AACGGACGCUGGCGGCAGGCUUAACACAUGCAAGUCGAGCGCAUCCUUCGGGGUGAGCGGCAGACGGGUGAGUAACGCGUGGGAACGUACCCUUUCCUACGGAAUAGCUCCGGGAAACUGGAAUUAAUACCGUAUACGCCCUUAGGGGGAAAGAUUUAUCGGGGAAGGAUCGGCCCGCGUUGGAUUAGCUAGUUGGUGGGGUAAAGGCCUACCAAGGCGACGAUCCAUAGCUGGUCUGAGAGGAUGAUCAGCCACAUUGGGACUGAGACACGGCCCAAACUCCUACGGGAGGCAGCAGUGGGGAAUAUUGGACAAUGGGCGCAAGCCUGAUCCAGCCAUGCCGCGUGAGUGAUGAAGGCCUUAGGGUUGUAAAGCUCUUUCAGUAGGGAAGAUAAUGACGGUACCUACAGAAGAAGCCCCGGCUAACUUCGUGCCAGCAGCCGCGGUAA
rnacentral:rRNA from 1 species